rnacentral:rRNA from 1 species
AGGGUUCGAUUCUGGCUCAGGACGAACGCUGGCGGCAUGCUUCAUACAUGCAAGUCGAACGAUAAGGUCUCUUCGGAGAUACAUAAGUGGCGGACGGGUGAGUAAUAUGUAGGAAAUCUGCCCUAGAGAGGGGGACAACAGAGGGAAACUUCUGCUAAUACCCCAUAUGAGCGUACCUGAAAUGGUAUUCUUGAAAACUCCGGUGCUCUAGGAUGAGCCUGCAUCUGAUUAGCUUGUUGGCGGUGUAAUGGACCACCAAGGCGACGAUCAGUAGCUGGUUUGAGAGGAUGAUCAGCCACAAUGGGACUGAGACACGGCCCAUACUCCUACGGGAGGCAGCAGUAGGGAAUUUUGCGCAAUGGGCGAAAGCCUGAACCGCAGCAAUGCCGCGUGAACGUAGAAGCCCUUCGGGGUGUAAAGUUCUGUCAGUGGGGACGAAUUUUGACGGUACCCACAGAGGAAGCACCGGCUAACUCCGUGCCAGCAGCCGC